rnacentral:rRNA from 1 species
GACGAACGCUGGCGGCGUGCUUAACACAUGCAAGUCGAACGAAAAGACGGAAAGAGCUUGCUCUUUUCAGAAUUGAGUGGCAAACGGGUGAGUAACACGUAAACAACCUGCCUUCAGGAUGGGGACAACAGACGGAAACGACUGCUAAUACCGAAUAAGUUCCAAGAGCCGCAUGGCCCAUGGAAGAAAAGGUGGCCUCUACCUGUAAGCUAUCGCCUGAAGAGGGGUUUGCGUCUGAUUAGCUGGUUGGAGGGGUAACGGCCCACCAAGGCGACGAUCAGUAGCCGGUCUGAGAGGAUGAACGGCCACACUGGAACUGAGACACGGUCCAGACUCCUACGGGAGGCAGCAGUGGGGAAUCUUCCGCAAUGGGCGAAAGCCUGACGGAGCAACGCCGCGUGAGUGAUGACGGCCUUCGGGUUGUAAAACUCUGUGAUCCGGGACGAAAAGGCAGAGUGCGUAAGAACAAACUGCAUUGACGGUACCGGAAAAGCAAGCCACGGCUAACUACGUGCCAGCAGCCGCGGUAAUACGUAGGUGGCAAGCGUUGUCCGGAAUUAUUGGGCGUAAAGCGCGCGCAGGCGGCUUCCCAAGUCCCUCUUAAAAGUGCGGGGCUUAACCCCGUGAUGGGAAGGAAACUGGGAAGCUGGAGUAUCGGAGAGGAAAGUGGAAUUCCUAGUGUAGCGGUGAAAUGCGUAGAGAUUAGGAAGAACACCGGUGGCGAAGGCGACUUUCUGGACGAAAACUGACGCUGAGGCGCGAAAGCGUGGGGAGCAAACAGGAUUAGAUACCCUGGUAGUCCACGCCGUAAACGAUGGAUACUAGGUGUAGGAGGUAUCGACCCCUCCUGUGCCGGAGUAACGCAAUAAGUAUCCCGCCUGGGAAGUACGAUCGCAAGAUUAAAACUCAAAGGAAUUGACGGGGGCACGCACAAGCGGUGGAGUAUGUGGUUUAGUUCGACGCCACGCGAUGAACCUUACCAGGUCUUGACAUUGAUCGCGAUCUGCAGAAAUGCUGAGUUCUACUUCGGAUGACGAGAUAACAGGGUGUGCACGGCUGUCGUCAGCUCGUGUCGUGAGAUGUGGGAUGAGGUCCGCCACGAGCGCAUCCCUAUCAUUGUUACCAGCCGUUAAGGUGGGGACUAAAGAAACGCCGCGACACGCGAGAGGCGGGACAGUUAGUUAUAG